rnacentral:lncRNA from 1 species
UCUUGAAUUGAAUUAAUAAACCCAUUUUCCUCCCCAGGCUGGAAAAGAUAAAAGAAAGAAAGAAGACACAGUCAGGUGUUGCUGGUGUUAUUUUUUAAGAUUUUCUUGAAGUCAGGACCUUGCAAAGCUUCUCUUCUCUAGAAGUACAAGAGAUGCCUGUAUCCAUGUGUCAUAACAAGUCACGAAAGCAAACCAUGGUCUGCAAACUUUGUGUCUCAAGAGGCUGAAGUGCAUAAGACCAGGCAUAGUUGGUCCCUGGAACAUCUCUGCUGCAAUGCUUUCAAUCUGAUUUGAAGCUUGUGUCCAUCUUCUUGUUAACUUGGUUCACUUAUCAACAAAGGAGUUGGAUCCAUUCCUGUGUCGUCAAAGAGAGAGCUUGGCUUUCCAGUAACUGGACUGUCACUCUUCCUCUCCAUUCCCAACACCUUAAGCUUCUGGUGGAGCGUCAAAGAGCUGUUGCUACAUAUUUGGUAUUUUCUUUGGCAUUGUUCUGCACUGGAAAACAAUUCUAAUCAGACUAUGAAGAACAUCCAUGACUAAAUGUAUGACAAUAGAUCAUUAACCACAAAAAUCCCAAGGGGAUAGUGAAGUUCAGUGCCCCACCUUGGCUCAUUUAAUCAUUAUUAGGCUGCAAGAGCCAAGUGUUUGAGCUCUUCUGGAUUCCAGAUUAGAUAUAUUUCUGGCCCUUAGCUUUCACCUUGUGGAUUUUGGUCCCAGAUAUCCUCUGCCUGCAGUUUUCUAACAAAAUGGGCAACCAUUCCCAAACUGUCUUGCCUCAGCAGUGCAUCUCUAUUUAUAUAAGGUAUACCUAGAGAGAGGAUUCAUAAUGAAUUAUUAUGCAGAGACAUUUAUCUUUGCAACAGUGACAAGGAUAACAGAAGUAGUGUAUAGUAGCCAUGAAGAUAAAUAACACAGCAUUUAACAUGUAUAAAAUAUUCCUGGUACUCUAGGUUCCAUUUUAUUAUUAGAUUUUUUAAAAGAACAAUUUUCUUGGUUAGCUUCCAGAGCUAGCAGUCACAGAGGCUAAUUUCAAAUUGCUUGAAGCCUUGGAAACAAAGAUGUAUUUGUGAAAACACUGGCUUAAACGCCAAUAAAAAUGUGAGCAGGACCCA